rnacentral:rRNA from 1 species
GUGUCAGCCGCCGCGGUAAUACGGAGGGCGCGAGCGUUAUUCGGAUUUAUUGGGCGUAAAGGGCGCGUAGGCGGGCGAGUAAGUCUGGUGUAAAAUCUUCACCGCUCAACGGGAAGAAGCCAUUGGAAACUGCUCGUCUUGAGGCCGGUAGAGGAUGACGGAAUUCCUGGUGUAGCGGUGGAAUGCGUAGAUAUCAGGAAGAACACCGAUUGCGAAGGCGGUUAUCUGGGCCGGUCCUGACGCUGAGGCGCGAAAGUCAGGGGAGCAAACGGGAUUAGAUACCCCGGUAGUCCUGGCCGUAAACGAUGAGAACUAGGUGUGAGGGGUAUCGACCCCCCUUGUGCCGACGCUAACGCAUUAAGUUCUCCGCCUGGGGAGUACGGUCGCAAGGCUGAAACUUAAAGGAAUUGACGGGG